rnacentral:rRNA from 1 species
CAAAGCGCCGGCUAACUACGUGCCAGCAGCCGCGGUAAUACGUAGAGCGCAAGCGUUAUCCGGAAUUAUUGGGCGUAAAGAGCUCGUAGGCGGUAUGUCGCGUCUGCUGUGAAAACCCGAGGCUCAACCUCGGGCCUGCAGUGGGUACGGGCAGACUAGAGUGCGGUAGGGGAGAUUGGAAUUCCUGGUGUAGCGGUGGAAUGCGCAGAUAUCAGGAGGAACACCGAUGGCGAAGGCAGAUCUCUGGGCCGUAACUGACGCUGAGGAGCGAAAGGGUGGGGAGCAAACAGGCUUAGAUACCCUGGUAGUCCACCCCGUAAACGUUGGGAACUAGUUGUGGGGACCAUUCCACGGUCUCCGUGACGCAGCUAACGCAUUAAGUUCCCCGCCUGGGGAGUACGGCCGCAAGGCUAAAACUCAAAGGAAUUGACGGGGACCCGCACAAGCGGCGGAGCAUGCGGAUUAAUUCGAUGCAACGCGAAGAACCUUACCAAGGCUUGACAUAUACGAGAACGGGCCAGAAAUGGUCAACUCUUUGGACACUCGUAAACAGGUGGUGCAUGGUUGUCGUCAGCUCGUGUCGUGAGAUGUUGGGUUAAGUCCCGCAACGAGCGCAACCCUCGUUCUAUGUUGCCAGCACGUAAUGGUGGGAACUCAUGGGAUACUGCCGGGGUCAACUCGGAGGAAGGUGGGGAUGACGUCAAAUCAUCAUGCCCCUUAUGUCUUGGGCUUCACGCAUGCUACAAUGGCCGGUACAAAGGGCUGCAAUACCGUAAGGUGGAGCGAAUCCCAAAAAGCCGGUCCCAGUUCGGAUUGAGGUCUGCAACUCGACCUCAUGAAGUCGGAGUCGCUAGUAAUCGCAGAUCAGCAACGCUGCGGUGAAUACGUUCCCGGGUCUUGUACACACCGCCCGUCAAGUCAUGAAAGUCGGUAACACCUGAAGCCGGUGGCCCAACCCUUGUGGAGGGAGCCGUCGAAGUGGAUCG